ensembl:lncRNA
GAUUGGGAGGUGGUUCUGUAGUUUGGGGAGUGGAAAAUAAGGCCUUAAGUAAGGAUCAGGGUAGAGGCAAGCUUGCAUUGUUUCUCAGAACUAGUGCUUAGUAGUCCCAGGACUGGUUCUGGUGGUCCCCCUUCUUUAUCAGGUAGUUUUUCCUUUUGUUGGGGGUUUUAGUUCUGCAGAAAGGAUACUGUUAUGUAAAUUCCUUGAGGAGGAACCAGGACCCUGCCCCAAGGCUGCCCUAUUGUCUCUUGACUGCUCCUCCAGGUCUCUGCAUCCCCUCCCUUCCCUGAUUAGCAGCUGCCCUUUGGAACUUGGGGAAGAUCUUGGAGGCUGAAGCUCAUUCUCUAAAAACAAGAAAUGGAGGACACAGAAAGGCCUCUGUGCCCAGGAGCCUCAAAGGGCCCUGCUCGGUUACAUUUCCCCCUUUUCUUUGAUACUUGGGCAAGAUAGGGAAUAUUUUGGGUGGAGAUCUUAAUUGUCACCUCGGUAAAAGAACUCGGUUUGAGGGGGACUUAGUUUUAAAUCCCCACUUCUCCUUUAUCCAUAGGAGGUUGUAAUAGCAAUGACAGGGAUGGAGUAGGGUAGUUUCACAGGGAGUUGUACAAGUCCCAGUAAGGGACCAUAGAUGGAGGGAAGUCUAGGGAACUUUUGGGAGAUCACUGUAAAUUAAUAAUUGCUCAAGAGAGCCAUCAGAGCCAGGCAGCCUUGUUUGACUGGUAGAGGCGUGAGCUAGGCCUCAGGUGAUUGGGUGGGGGAUGAGGUGAGGCCUGCAUUCAGGUUCAGACCUAGGGCAAGCGUGUAAGGACCACCCUUCUGCUGAUUUGAAUAAGCACCUUGACAGUCCUAGUUUGACCUUAUAGGGUCAAAUACUCUUUUGCCUGAUACCACGGAGGAGCUACUGCCCUGAGAAAGAGGAAGAGGUGGUCUUUUCCCACCCCCACUCCUGUAGCCCACCUGGUCCUUGGGGCAGCGCCGCCUUUGCCUGCAUGCUUGUAUCUCUCACAGGUGUCUUAUCCAAAAGUCUAUUUCUUGCCUGUCUACUUUGUCUCUGGUGAGUGAUUCUAAUUUAAAAACAGUGGGUUCAAGUCCCAGUCUGGGUUCUGGCUGGGUUCAAGUCCUAAAUGCUGUCGGUUUCAGCAAGAUUUAAUAAGUAGUGUAUUAAACACCUGUAAUGACUCUAACAUAUCCCGGCAUCAAUGUCCGUAUAGCCUGUCACCUCCCAAUUCUUUUUUUUUUUUUAAAUCUUUUUAUGCGUUUUUAAAGGUAGAAGUAUAAUAUGAUGUGAAAAUCCAGGUGAAUCUGACAAUUCAGUUAAUUAAUAAAUGAAAUCUAGUUGAGGGAGUCCUUUAGCUGUAUUUGAUGAUUCAUCAGCAGUUGCUGCUGGAACUAAAUUAUUUUUUAGGAGUUGCCGUCGUAGCUCAGUGAAAACAAAUCCAACUAGGAACCAUUAGGUCGUGGGUUCCAUCCCUAGCCUCGCUCAGUGAGUUAAGGAUCCGGUGUUGCUGUGAGCUGUGGUGUAGCUCACAGAUGCGGCUCGGAUCCAGCGUUGCUGUGGCUCUGGCAUAGGCCAGUGGCUACGGCUCUGUUUAGACCCCUAGCCUGGGAACCUCCAUAUGCCACGAGUGUGGUCCUGGAAAAAGACAAAAAAAAAAAAGAAGGUGUGGUUUGUGAGCGCUUUUGUGUCUUUCUGAAUCAGGCACAUGAAAAAAAAUUAAUUUUUCUCUUCAAACUUAAUUUAUUUUUAAAAUUAAAGUAUCGUUGAUUUACAGUGUUGUGCGGAUCCAGCGUCUACAGCAAAGUGACCCAGUCAUGUAUAUAUAUGAUAUAUACACACACACACACACACACACACGUAUACAUUUCCUUUCGUAUAUGACCUUACACCAUGGUCUAUCCCCAGAGAUUGGAUAGAGUUCCCUGUACUGUGCAGCAGGACCUCAUUGCUUAUUCAUCCCACAUGUAAUAGUUGGCUUCUACUAACCUCAAACUCCCCAUCCAUCCCACUCCCUCCCCUCCCCCUCGGCAACCACAAGUCUGCUCUCUCUGUCUGUUGAGACUGUUUCUGUUGUGUAGACAGGUUCAUCUGCACCAUAUUUUAGAUUCCACAGCUCACGGCAAUGCCGGAUCCUUAACCCACCAAGCAAAACCAGAGAUCGAACCCGGAUCCUCAAGGAUGCUGGUUGCGGGUUCAUUUUUGCCAAGGCACGACGGGAACUCCCAAGAUUUUUUAAUACACUUUUUAAAGAUUAUCUUCCAUUUAUAGUUUUUACAAAAUAUUGGCUAUUGAUUACUGUAAUGAUUUUUAAAAGACGAAAGCACACUAGUUGCAGGUCCUGGCAAAGUGAAACAGUUCUGCCUUUAAUUCACUGCAGUUGGGUUCUCCUGAUCCUGCCAGCUGUUUAGCUUACUUUUGUACUAAAACAUUCAAAAAGCGGGUGUCUGGGGGCCAUCCUCAGUGUCAUUUUGGAGUCAUUUCAUAUCAUCUAAGGAAAAGUAACAUGGAGUUUUUUAAGGAACUUUGGUCUUCCAAACAGCUCUCCUUUUCAAAAACAGCAGCCCAGGCAGCACAGCUGAUAAAACGCAGGCUGGCUGCUUCCUCGGAGACUUUUUUUUAACCUUGUGGCCCUUUGGCAUUUUGUNNNNNNNNNNNNNNNNNNNNNNNNNNNNUCCUGCUGACCCCAGAAGAAAAGAGGAUGGAAGAUGUUCUCAGGAAGCUGGGCGACUGGAUUGUGAGGCAGGCACAGUGGAAAUGAAUCCGCCUGGAAAUGAAUCUAACUUGUAUCCAUGAGGACGCAGGUUCAAUCCCUGGCCUCGCCCAGUGGGUUAAAGAUCCGGCAUUGCUGUGAGCUGCCGUGUAGGUCACCGACACAGCUUGAAUCUGGCGUUGCUGUUGCUCUGGACUAGGCCAUCAGCUAGUGCUCCGAUUGACCCCUAGCCUGGGAAUGUCCAUGUGCUGUGGGUGUGGCCCUAAACAGAAAAAGAAGAAAAAAAAA